rnacentral:rRNA from 1 species
UACGUAGGGUGCAAGCGUUGUCCGGAAUUAUUGGGCGUAAAGGGCUCGUAGGCGGUCCAUCACGUCGGGGAGUGAAAAGCUGGGGCUUAACCCCAGUCCUGCUUCCGAUACGGGUGGACUAGAGGUAGGUAGGGGAGAACGGAAUUCCUGGUGUAGCGGUGAAAUGCGCAGAUAUCAGGAGGAACACCGGUGGCGAAGGCGGUUCUCUGGGCCUUACCUGACGCUGAGGAGCGAAAGCGUGGGGAGCAAACAGG